AAGUCGUAACAAGGUAUCCGUAGGUGAACCUGCGGAUGGAUCAUUACAGAGGAGAAAGCAAGCUCACGCUGUUCACCUUUGCUGUUAAAGUCGUGUGUUUUAAGGGUGAGUGUGUGGCGGUGUUGUCCACAGCACGCUGCCGCCCUCACCCUCAUCCACCAUCAACCUCUAUUCAACUCUACAGCUGUCUGGCAAUAUACCACAUUAUAUAACCUAUACAACUGCUAGCAACGGAUCACUCGGCUCUC
rnacentral:misc_RNA from 1 species